ensembl:lncRNA
AAUAAGUCCGUACUGUUGCAGAACAUAGACUUGAGAGUUGUCUUAGAAAUAUUCAUAUCAUUCAUUGUGUGGCUUCUUGAAUGCAUGCACACUGGGAAAAAGGAGAAGGGUUGUUUGCCAUUUUAAAAGCUGUGGUACUUUCUACUGAGCUGGAGUGUAUUGAACCCAGAGAUUUAGAACAGACCAGAAGUUGGUCUGACUAGCUCACAAAAAUAACAGAGAAAGGAUACGAUUGCCAUCUAUAACUGUAGAAGAAAGGCAAAUGCCGGAAGGAUAAUAUCUAUUAAAACUACUGCUACAGGUACGAGUCAUCAUGAAGACUAAUCAGAUAUGACUAAAUUUAAGAAGUUAGGUUUCUGGCAGGCAGAACAAUAGUGUUCUGGACUAUACUUUUGGGUUGGGUAACAGAACAGAAUCUCAUUCUCCAUUCUUUGAAGUGGUUUAUUUUACCUUCAUACUAUUGUUGGUCUUGUGCCAGGGGAAAUGCAGAGGGGAAAUGUCAGCUUUUACAACAGCCACUGCAAACAUGUCUUGAGAGAGACAUUACCAGAAAGACAAAAAAAUUAGAGAAAACAUAUCCUGCUCCGUCAUUUAGCAUCAGGUUGCAGAGCAGCUAGAUCCUGUUGUUCAUCAUUUCCUAGUGUGUAGUUCUCUGGUACUUAGAUACUUCAGGUACUCAAAGAAAGCCUUAGGUAACAUGGCAAAAGGUUAAAGGAAUAGUUUUUCAAAUAUUUAUAAAGAAGCUAUGAGGCUUCCUACAACAAGUCUAAAAUCUUUGUAACUUCCUAAGGAUUUGGUAAUUUGGGUAUUAAUAGUAGCUGCAAUUUUAGAGACAAAUUAGAGCUCAUCUCUAGCAUAUGUACUAAGAAAAAUGAGACUAUACUGGCAUUUCAAUAGGUCUGAAGUGUCACUAUGUUUAAAAUCCUAUUUGGGAAUACAGCUCAGUAUAGGUUAAAGGCAGCCUUGGGAAGCAGUACGAAAGUUUGGAACAACCAGAGGGUAGCUGGGGACUCUGUGGAGCAGAGACCCUGAAAGCAGAUGCUGUCAUCAAGGGAAGUUUAAAAAAAAAAAUGUAUAAACUUACACUGGAGAGACAAAAUAAAGUAGAAUAAAAUCUCUCACUUUAAACUUUAAACUUCCCUAGUCUCCUCCUAUGUCUUUUUGUGCAUUUGUCUCCUACUUUCUUUGUCAGCCUCAUCACUUUAACCUCUCUUUCUCUUCCAGUCCUCCUAAGACACAAAUACUCUGCUCCUGUCAUGAGGUCUGUGCUGGAUGUAUAUUGUUUUGCCUAUGUCAAGUCUAAAUAGGUGACGAUACUUGCCUUCUCCUCCCCUAAGUGUGAAAUCAUUUCUGUAGGAGUGGAUGUCAAAACAAAGACUCAGUACUAAACUGGUUUUUCACAGAAUGGCAGUUUUUUCUCUUAAUACACUUAUCAAAGAGAAUCUGCACAAACAUUCAAAAAUUGCUGUCUUCUGUGUCUGUUGGACAACCUACAGGAAAUUAGAGUUGGCUGCUCUAAGUACAACUUGCUCAAGGCUUGUGCUCUCAUUAAGGACACGUCCUCUUAAUUGAUCACCUUCUUCUGGGCCCUGCCACAGCGAUUUGUCAGGGGCCUUUGGAGAAAUACUGGGUGUGGAGAUUAAAAUGAUAACAUUUUUCUCCUUUCAGCCCAGUCAGAUCUUCAGAAAAAACAUGCCCUCAGUUCUUUAUUUAUUGGCUUGAUUAAUUAAAAAUCUUUUUUGGCUUAUUAAGUAUAGAAGAGAGGAACAUAAGAAAUAAAGGAACAUAAGAAAUGACACUUUGAACUUUUUGUGAGGAAGAACUUGAAAACUAAGAAGGGCUGAAAAAUCACAGUGUCAACAGACUGGAGGAAUUAUUCUGACAAACAGAAGUCUGUGUACCCAAUUCUUUCAGUGUGUUUAUUUAUUGCUGAUAUUCAUACGUAGUAAAGUUGUUUCGUAUCACUGCUGCCUAGUCAUUUUUCUUUGGAAAUGCAUGAAUCACAAUGACUUUUGCUGAACCACUUAAAUGGGGGUCUGCUGCAGCAUGUUGUUAUGGGUCUGCAUUGCAGUGCAUUACUGUGAGAUUUAGGGUAUGUUAUGGUAUGCAAUAAUACUAUGUGGGCUCUUUUCACCCCAGCAUAUUUUCUUUUAAUGAAAACCAUUAAAAUACAGAUUCUUGUAAAAUGAAAGCCUUGCAUUUCUAGUGAGAUACUGGUAACUGAUCACUUGAAUGUACUGUACUAGAGCUAAUAAACCAGCAGUUUUGUUUUUCAUCUGUUUUGUGUAGCACAACUCGUCACUUCACCAAUCUACUACUUCUUACUUAAUUUUGCAGUUUAAUAUGGCGUUUCCCUUUAUCAGUAUCCUUGAUAAACUGGCUUGUUUGCAAUAAAGGAGUGAUUCCUGUUCUAUU